AAAAAGAUAAGCUAAUUUAAGCUAAUGGGCUCAUACCCCAUCUAUGUGAGUCUAGCCUCACUCUUUUUA
rnacentral:tRNA from 1 species